CCUACGGGAGGCAGCAGUAGGGAAUAUUGCACAAUGGGGGAAACCCUGAAGCAGCAACGCCGCGUGGGGGAAGAAGGUUUUCGGAUUGUAAACCUCUAUUGGCAGAGAAGAUAAUGACGGUAUCUAACGAAUAAGCACCGGCUAACUACGUGCCAGCAGCCGCGGUAAUACGGAGGGUGCACGCGUUAUACGGAAUUACUGGGCGUAAAGAGAGCGUAGGCGGGAUAGCAAGUCAGAUGUGAAAUCCUAUGGCUUAACCAUGGAACUGCAUUUGAAACUGUUAUUCUAGAGUGUGGGAGAGGUAGGUGGAAUUCUUGGUGUAGGGGUAAAAUCCGUAGAUAUCAAGAGGAAUACUCGUGGCGAAGGCGACCUGCUAGAACAUAACUGACGCUGAUGCGCGAAAGCGUGGGGAGCAAACAGGAUUAGAUACCCGUGUAGUC
rnacentral:rRNA from 1 species